UGCAGUCGAGCGAGAAGGGGGCUUCGGCCCCUCAGUACAGCGGCGAACGGGUGCGUAACACGUGGGUGAUCUGUCCUCGAGACGGGGAUAACCCAGCGAAAGUUGGGCUAAUACCGGAUAAGACCACAAGAGGAAACUCUCGGGGUCAAAGGGUGCUUCCUUUUGGGGGGAUUCGCUGGAGGAGGAGCCCGCGUCCUAUCAGCUUGUUGGUAGGGUAACGGCCUACCAAGGCAAAGACGGGUAGCUGGUCUGAGAGGAUGACCAGCCACACGGGGACUGAGAUACGGCCCCGACUCCUACGGGAGGCAGCAGUGGGGAAUAUUGGGCAAUGGGGGAAACCCUGACCCAGCGACGCCGCGUGGGUGAUGAAGGCCUUCGGGUCGUAAAGCCCUGUCGGGAGGGACGAAUGAUCCUGUGGCAAAUACCCGCGGGAUGUGACGGUACCUCCGAAGGAAGCACCGGCCAACUCCGUGCCAGCAGCCGCGGUAAGACGGAGGGUGCAAGCGUUGCUCGGAAUCACUGGGCGUAAAGGGUGCGUAGGCGGUCUCUCAAGUCUGGCGUGAAAGCCCAGGGCUCAGCCCCGGAAGUGCGCCAGAAACUGAAAGGCUUGAGUGCCGGAGGGGAGAGUGGAAUUCCCGGUGUAGCGGUGAAAUGCGUAGAUAUCGGGAGGAAUACCGGUGGCGAAGGCGACUCUCUGGACGGCAACUGACGCUGAGGCACGAAAGCGUGGGGAGCAAACAUGAUUAGAUACCCUGGUAGUCCACGCCGUAAACGAUGGGCACUAGGUGUCGGGGGUAUCCACUCCCUCGGUGCCGCCGCUAACACAUUAAGUGCCCCGCCUGGUAAGUACGGUCGCAAUAUUAAAACUCAAAUGAGUUGACGGGG
rnacentral:rRNA from 1 species